CGUUCCACAAUUUGAAGUUAACAAUUCCAAGUCAUAUAGGUUAAAAGUCAUGCGAAGUAAAGAGGGUAGAGUAAGACCAAUCAGUCAGAGGUUGAUCAAACUUGUACAAACAGUUGACUGCAGUUUUCUCUCUCAGUGGGAAAAAUAUGGACUCUCAUUUCUCGAGGUGCCACAAGUUCAAAGACACAACUGUCAUCCAUCUCCAGCUUGUUAUCAACUGCAAAUCUUCGCCAACCUUUGGAGAAAACCUUGUUGGUGUCAGUGUAUAGCAAAGUCACCUCCCAAGAUUUCUCUUUUGAAGUCCAGAAGGUGAAUUCUGUUCUGGCUUGAGGAAGAUGUGCAUUGAGAAAAGAUGUGGGGAUGGUCUGUAGGAAUGACAAAUUCUACUUAAUAUGCUUGUCAUGGUUAAAAUUCCGAAAGACAAACCUUUGAGGUUGAAAUAUGCUUACCAGUAGGAAUGGGAUAUCCACAUUACACCUUGUAAUGCAAUGCUUGAAAUGGGGGAAGUUGGAGGUGAAAUCUUUAGCCGCUUUACAAAGCUUUGCUGUAAUUUUUCUACCUGCUGGCCGCUUCCUCGAGGAAGAGGCUAAAUCUUUUUCCUCUGCUGAUUUUUUCUUAGCCUUCCCUCCAAUUUGAACUUGUGAUUUGGUCUUCACCAUAUCAGUAACGUCCAUUUCUUCUUCCUUAAUUUUUUCAGUCGAGUCUUGGUGCAUCCGGGUGAUUGAAACACAGUUCCUCUCGCAUCCACUUUUCUCAAAAAUUUGUACAUCAAAACACAUAUUGCCGUUGUAUCUGAGCACCAAGAAAUCCUUGUCCCCCAAGCAGUGAUUUUGGUAAAACUGCUGCCAACCAUGCUGCAUGAUUGUGCUUCUGUCCUGCUUGCACAUAGUAAUCUUCCAAUAAUCACCGGAAGGACCCCUCAGAACUGCUCUAGUGGGGAUUCUUUUUGGUAGAUGGGUUCUAACAAAAUGUGGUGGAAUUUCCUGGAAUAAAUUUGAGAGAGAAGUUUAAACAGCCAUGGACUGGAAAAGCAUAUAUUCAAUAUUGUGCAAAUCAUACAACCAUGUUUGAUGGACCCUUUCUAGGAUAUUUAAUAUUCAUAUAGAUCCUGUUGUAUCCUUAACUUUAUUGUAGAAUUCAAACUUUAUUAGGACUAUGCCUUUUUAACUGUUAUACCAAACACAAUCUUUCUGUCAUAUGAACCAGCAGUGCAUUUCUUCACCCACCCCUGAAACCCCCCCUACUCUUACCUUUCAUCAGUCAUUACCCAAUUCUAGGAUUACUCAAUCAAAACCUUAUCAGACUAGCCAUCAAAAUCUUAAAUGAACUUUUCUCAGUUUUCCUUUAAUUUUAUCAACAAAAAACAGACUGCAGCAGGUCUCAAAUUCAAAUUUAAAUAAAAACUUGAACAACAUUAUGUAAAACAGAAAAGAGAGGAGAAAGAAAGAAAACUUACAAAGAAAGACAUAUAAAAAACCAAAUCCAUUAUAUAUAUCCAUCAUCCUCUAAUUUCCAAGGCUAAACUUUCCCACAAACAUAAAAGAACAGAGCAGUUCGUAUGUAUAAAGGCUUGCAUAGUGCUUGUCUGCAACUCUAAAUAAACAAAUCACAGACAGUUUAAACAAACAACAGAAUGAAGAAUCAGAAACAUAGGAAAAAAGGCUGUUUUCCUUGGUAAAGUCUGCAGAGAAAAUGAAAGACAGAACAAGAAGGAAAAAUGCAGCAAACUUAUACUACAUCUUUCAUGUGCAAAAGCAUACAUAUACACAGGUCAUUUGCUUACAAAUGAACACAAAUAUCUCAGCAUUAAGUCAUCACUUCUGCUGGUAGUGUCGGGUAGCAUUAGCUACUCCCACUAACUGCUGAAUUUUUUUUUUUUUGAAAGUUGUUGUUCAUUCCAUAACAGAGGAUACUAAAGGUUCACCUCUGGGAGAAGUACAAACAUGAUUAAAGUCUGUUACUCACCUAUUUGGGGAUAACAGCCCUUAAUCACUACAUAGCCAAUCCCUUAAGGAUACAUCCAGAGAGAACACACACAAGCCUGCAGUACCCUUCCCAGAAAAAAACAGAGUCCAUCCUGUACCUUUCCAAAAGAAAAACCCAAGCAAAUCCCGCCACCCUCAAAAACUACUAGGUGGACAGGAUCAUAAACUGUACACAAUAUUCCACAACACCACCUCCCUAACGACCUAACAGGACAAUGGGUUAGCCACACAAAACAAGCUUACCCCUUAACCGACCUCAUGCCCCAGGUGGCUGCAUCAAAAAAGAACCCCUGGACUGUAGCAUACACAAACUGUGGUAUCCCUUCAAGAGGAGAGCCAUCAGCACCUUCUAUACAUAUCCUAGACCAUAUCCACCACUGAACCCCCAGUUACAAAAAGCAGUAGCUUCAAUGUCAUCAUAUCCUUUCCAUGGCCAGAAGCGAGGCUUCAUCCACAACCCCUCAGUAGAACGCAAGAACUUAGACACAGAACUUCCCCGACAUCCACCACAAUCCAAAAAACUUUGAACCCUCAUAGUGUCUCCCAAGAAUUAACCACUAAAACAAGUAUUAGGCAGACUAAACUUGCUCAGUUGUCUGCUAUGCUGCGGAAACCAGAACCAAAAACAAAGGCAUCGAACCAGACAUGUAUUUCAACUAGAAGAGUUAAAUAUUCAAAAACAAUCUCAAUUCUAACAGCAACCAAAAAAAAAGGACAGAGAAAUCACCAGGCUACGGCUAGCGUCACCCUUAUGUAGGAUGAACAUGGAGAAGGAUGGUCGGUUGUCGUGAUCCGGAAGAUUGCUUUCCACACCCUUUGAGCUCUUAUUCACCAUUUUCUUCUUUGACUCCAAAUGGCUUUGCAUUUUCUUUCUCUGGAACAAAAGGGGUUACAAAACAAAGCUAACUUUGUCAAAACAGAUUCCUCGUUCAAACUUUAUCUCUGGUUUCUAGUUUGUUAUGUUUUUAAAGCUUUCUCUCCAUUUUCAGUCCCAACUAUUUCCUCGUGUAACAAAGUUUUUCCAAAGUAUUAGAGGAACAAACGUUUUAUCAGAAAUAUAUCAAGUUAGCUUGCAAGAAUUAAAUGAAUAAUCUGGUGGUGAUAGAAGCAGUUAAUCCAACUUUCUUCAAUUAUCGAGUUCUGAGCUAUAACUCUGAAUUUUUUAGUGUUCUGACAGAAUUUUCAGAACAGCAUGCAUAUAUAGUUCUUCAGCAACAACUCUUUUUUGAGGUCCAUGCCAAAAGUACACUUAAAAUGGAAUAAAGACAAGCAUUGUUGACAUCUUCAGAUGGGAUUCAAAGCAACUGGUCAUAUAUUCAAACCUUAAGGGACCAAAAAAAAAAAAAAAAAAAAAAAAAAAAAACAUCAACUUGACCUAAAAGUGGAACCGAGUUUUUAUCACAUUCCCCCUACUCACUCACUCACUGAGUUUUAAUCUCGCCUGCUUAACCCAAGCACCCACCGUGUGUCCCACCAACUCCCCUGCUUGUUUUUUAGUGGUUUUUUUUUUCCUUUUUUGUGCUGACCCACCAACUCACCAUCGGAAGUCAAGCAUAGUUUUACAUCAUUUUAAGGAAUAUUCAAUUUUAAUUGUAAUUUUCCAUUGCCAGUACUUCAACAACAAUCAAGUUAUAUAAUAAUUUACAUAAAAAAAUUAUAAAAAGUAUGUUUAUGUUGAAAAUUGUAAGGAGAGUGCAACCUUCUCUAUAGCUAUCCUCAAUCUACUACUAGCAUUAUAAUUAAACAUGAGAAUUCGACAGCAUAACUUGACAUAAUAAAUCAGUAAUUCUAAUAAUAGUACAAUGCAAGAUCAAUUAUAUCCCGAGUUUUGACAAAGACUGAAUAAGUUUUUACUCUGUUAGCACAUUUUUUCCCCUUAAAGAUGAAAAAGAUGGGCAUUUAAGUUACAAUAAGUAUUAGUACUUGGUGAGAAAAUUGUUUAUUAUGGGCAAAAGUGUCAACCCCAUCAAUUAUUCAAUAUUUCAUUAUUUUUUAUUAAAAAUAUUUGGUAAAAGACAGAUUCAUGGUGAGUUUGGUUGGAACUCAUUUUUAGGUGACUGGGUCGAGUCAGCAAGAGAAAGAAGGGGAGAGCACUGAGUCAAAGGUUGGCAAAAGAAGACAGUGUCGUCCUGAGUCGUGUGACCCGAGCAAUUCUCUCAGCAAAGGGGGAUCCUUUUAUUUAUUCCAUUCGUCUAGGACAAAGACUUUUGGACACGUGUCAAGCCAGGGUGGAUGGGGACCACGACCAGAAUCACAUGCACAGCAAAAUGAAGAAAAGCAAGAAGCGACCUUUUUAUUACACCUUCAUGACUUCAUUGCUCCCUUACUGCCUGAAGUUGUUGGGCCUCUAAAUCUCAACCAAUCAAAUAAUUCAUUCAUCUUUGUUUUUUUCUGCUCUUCCAAAUCAACCCACACUUUGGAUUACUUAGGCUUAAAAUCUUCUCAAUUCUUCAUCAUAUGCUAUGGUGAUGCAUUUGUUGGUCCCCCAACUUCUGUUUAUGAUGGCAUCAAUUUUUAUGUUUUGCAGAGUGAUGUUAAUGCAAAUAAAAAUACCCAACAGAGUAGUGGUUUAAUAUGAGCUUUCAGUUUGUAUAUGCAUAGGGUUUCCUCAAUAAAUAUAUCAAUAUAUCCUGGAAAGAAAAUUUAUUGCAUGGAAUCAAUGAUGACAUGUAAUCUGGGUAAAGCCUUUGAUAAUUUGGGAAAAGAAAGGGAAUAUUUGCUUUUUAUUCAUAAUAAUGAUCUUGAUAUAGGGCAAUUAAAACAAACUAGUAUAUUAAAGUUGUUAAAUUGUUGAAACAAGGGAGGCAAAACGGUAAAAGAUAUUUGACAGUUGCAAAGCUGCAAUCAUGCAUGGAAGAGAUGGUUCUUGGACGUACGUUCCACAAUUUGAAGUUAACAAUUCCAAGUCAUAUAGGUUAAAAGUCAUGCGAAGUAAAGAGGGUAGAGUAAGACCAAUCAGUCAGAGGUUGAUCAAACUUGUACAAACAGUUGACUGCAGUUUUCUCUCUCAGUGGGAAAAAUAUGGACUCUCAUUUCUCGAGGUGCCACAAGUUCAAAGACACAACUGUCAUCCAUCUCCAGCUUGUUAUCAACUGCAAAUCUUCGCCAACCUUUGGAGAAAACCUUGUUGGUGUCAG
rnacentral:lncRNA from 1 species